rnacentral:tRNA from 1 species
GGACCCGUAGCUCAGUGGAUAGAGCAGGUGUCACCGUAAGGUGAUGUUUCAUCACUCUUGUCGUCAUGCCCAGCGCAUCGAGGUCGCGAACGGCAACGGGAAAGGAAAAAGACAGACUGUGACGAAUGCCUUUGGAACUACAUCAGACGCUUCGUGUCGCGGGUUCGAUCCCCGCCGGUCCCG